GAUGAACGCUGGCGGCGUGCCUAAUACAUGCAAGUCGAGCGAACAGACGAGGUGCUUGCUCCUUCGACGUUAGCGGCGGACGGGCGAGUAACACGUAGGUAACCUACCUAUAAGACUGGGAUAACUUCGGGAAACCGGAGCUUAUACCGGAUAAUAUUUUGAACCGCAUGGUUCGAUAGCGAAAGAUUGCUUUGCUAUCACUUAUAGAUGGACCUGCGCCGUAUUAGCUAGUUGGUAAGGGAACGGCUUACCAAGGCAACGAUACGUAGCCGACCUGAGAGGGUGAUCGGAGAAGCGAGAACUGAGACACGGUCCAGACACCUACGGGAGGCAGCAGUGGGGAUUCUUCCGCAAUGGGCCAGAGCCUGACGGAGCAGCGCCGCGUGAGUGAUGAAGGUCUUCGGGUCGUAAAACUCUGUUAUUAGGGAAGAACAAACGUGUAAGUAACUGUGCACGUCUUGACGGUACCUAGUCAGAAAGCCACGGCUAACUACGUG
rnacentral:rRNA from 1 species